rnacentral:rRNA from 1 species
AGUACGGCCGCAAGGCUAAAACUCAAAUGAAUUGACGGGGGCCCGCACAAGCGGUGGAGCAUGUGGUUUAAUUCGAUGCAACGCGAAGAACCUUACCUGGUCUUGACAUCCACGGAAGUUUUCAGAGAUGAGAAUGUGCCUUCGGGAACCGUGAGACAGGUGCUGCAUGGCUGUCGUCAGCUCGUGUUGUGAAAUGUUGGGUUAAGUCCCGCAACGAGCGCAACCCUUAUCCUUUGUUGCCAGCGGUCCGGCCGGGAACUCAAAGGAGACUGCCAGUGAUAAACUGGAGGAAGGUGGGGAUGACGUCAAGUCAUCAUGGCCCUUACGACCAGGGCUACACACGUGCUACAAUGGCGCAUACAAAGAGAAGCGACCUCGCGAGAGCAAGCGGACCUCAUAAAGUGCGUCGUAGUCCGGAUUGGAGUCUGCAACUCGACUCCAUGAAGUCGGAAUCGCUAGUAAUCGUGGAUCAGAAUGCCACGGUGAAUACGUUCCCGGGCCUUGUACACGCCGCCCGUCACACCAUGGGAGUGGGUUGCAAAAGAAGUAGGUAGCUUAACCUUCGGGAGGGCGCUUACCACUUUGUGAUUCAUGACUGGGGUGAAGUCGUAACAAGGUAACC